UACAGAGGUUGCAAGCGUUAAUCGGAUUUACUGGGCGUAAAGCGCGCGUAGGUGGCCUCGUAAGUCCGCUGUGAAAGUCAAAGGCUCAACCUUUGAAAGCCGGUGGAUACUGUGAGGCUAGAGUACGGAAGAGGCGAGUGGAAUUCCUGGUGUAGCGGUGGAAUGCGCAGAUAUCAGGAGGAACACCAAUAGCGAAGGCAGCUCGCUGGGACGUUACUGACACUGAGGCGCGAAAGCGUGGGGAGCGAACAGG
rnacentral:rRNA from 1 species